rnacentral:tRNA from 1 species
GGAGGGUUACCCAAGCGGUCCAAGGGGGCGCACUCGAAAUGCGCUAGGCCGGUUAUCCCGGUGCGAGGGUUCGAAUCCCUUGCCCUCCG